GCUACACUGAUGUAUUCAACGAGUAUAUAGCCUUGGCCGACAGGCCCGGGUAAUCUUGGGAAAUUUCAUCGUGAUGGGGCUAGAUCAUUGCACUUGUUGGUCUUCAACGAGGAANNNNUAGUCAGCGCGAGUCAUCAGCUCGCGUUGCAUGUGCCCCUGCCCGUUGACCUCACCCACCGUCGCUCCUACCGCCUCCAUGGCCUGAGA
rnacentral:ncRNA from 1 species